rnacentral:rRNA from 1 species
AGAUUUAUCGCCGAAAGAUCGGCCCGCGUCUGAUUAGCUAGUUGGUGAGGUAACGGCUCACCAAGGCGACGAUCAGUAGCUGGUCUGAGAGGAUGAUCAGCCACAUUGGGACUGAGACACGGCCCAAACUCCUACGGGAGGCAGCAGUGGGGAAUAUUGGACAAUGGGCGCAAGCCUGAUCCAGCCAUGCCGCGUGAGUGAUGAAGGCCCUAGGGUUGUAAAGCUCUUUUGUGCGGGAAGAUAAUGACGGUACCGCAAGAAUAAGCCCCGGCUAACUUCGUGCCAGCAGCCGCGGUAAUACCAAGGGGGCUAGCGUUGCUCGGAAUCACUGGGCGUAAAGGGUGCGUAGGCGGGUCUUUAAGUCAGGGGUGAAAUCCUGGAGCUCAACUUCAAAACUGGCUUUGAUACUGAGGAUCUUGAGUUCGGAGAG